AGGCCUGCUCCUUAAGGCCCUAUUAAAGCUGCUAAAAUCAUCUGUACAGAAUAUACCGUGCACACACAAAUGACUAAUGCUGGAGCAGAAUUAACUGUCUUCUAGUGCAACAACAGAGCAGAGUUGGAAGAUAAAGCAUGGCUAUGUGCACUGCAGGCAUACAGUUAGUAUUAACAUACUAAUCUCAUUCUGACAUUUGCUAAAUGAAUCAUUCAUGCACACAGCCAUGCAUAUGCAUCAAGCCAAUGGGGACUCAUUCCCAAAGAGCCUUUAACAUAUGGGCAGACGUGCACAGCGGGAAGGCGGUCUCAGGCAUGUGAACAAUCAGUCAGCUGUCCAUUCGUUGGGUUUUAUUAUUAUGUCGCCAUCAUGUCACAUGCUACAUGCGAGUCAGAGGCAAUUCUGUAUAUAUGAUAUUUUGUUCCAUGUGGUGGGUUAUUAAUGCCUUUUGUGCUUUAUUCAUAUAUUUAUAACUCUGUAGAGAUGCAUUGGCAUAUUCUGCAUAAUAGCCAUCCCGGAAUAAAUACUGGUCAUCAGUUCGCAGUUUUCGGCUGUUUCCCUUUUUAAAAAAAAAAAAAAAAAAGAGCGAAUCAGCGCCCCCUAAACGCUACGCGGGGAACGUGUGGCCAAGGCCCACGUGACGAGCCCAGGUGGAAGUGGACGCAAAUAACUAAUUGAAUAAUGAUGACAUCGUGUCACUGUUACCCAUUGUUUGCAGCAUUAUCAUCGUCGCCAGGUGCAUUUGGGUGGAGGUUUUAGAGUUUUUAGUAAAAUACUACAAUAAGUUAUAAUUGAAUGCGAGCGCGUCUAACACGAAAACUGCAGCUGCCAGAGAGAUGCUAGCUGCUAACUAGCUGCUAGCACCAAACUUUACUUGUCCAGCGUCAGCUGAGCUCACGUUCUGCUCAACAAGAAUAAAAACGCGCCCGAGGAACCUGUGUGGACCAGAGGGAACGGCUACACGUGGUUAAUGAGCGCGUCCGACCCGUGACAGGCAGAACGGCCUCCUCUUCUUCCAGGAGAAAACCUUGGUUGCUGCUGAUGAAAGGAGCGCCGCCACAAAUAGCCCUCACACCGCUGCUCCGACAAGUCAACACCAGAUGAAAAACACCGGCGUCUGUGGACCGUGUUCAUUCCCUGCUGAUCAGUUACUGAUGCAGUGCUAGAGGGAGCCCUCCUCCAUUUCACCCACACACACGAAGGCCCUCAGUCCUUUAGCAGCAGCGAGGUCCCGGGGGAUCAGAGGGGGACUUGCCAGGACCUUAGCUGUGCUCCACGAAGGGGUGGGACGAAACCCAGGAUGCUGAAUCCAAUCUGACCCUGUCACUCACUCAGACAGGCUGAGACGCUGAAAAGAAGGGGGCUCCACUGGCCUUGAUAAAUCUGAUCUGGGGCCAUCUGUGUCUGGGUGGGAGCAGAAUCUCCAGGAUGGGACCCUGGAGAGGAGGCGAGAGGAGGCGAAAGUGGAAACGGAGGGAAAAACACUGGACAGGACGCGAACAUACGGAGCCAAAUAAUAAAGGUCAACGGGGGAAGAAACCUGAAGAGACGGGCGGCGAAACGAGGCAUAAACACGGAGCGCGAGUAAAGGAAGGAGUCAUGCAGAUGUUUAACGAGCAGCGGGAGAGUGGUCGUUAAGCGUCCAGUCACAUCGCAGCUUCUACACUGGAACUAGGCCGUCAGUGCAACAGCUUAACUGCACAAUGACUGUUGACAACGGCUUCAACCAUCUCCGGCAUUUAGGCGUUUGAGCGUCUGCGUCGCCACUAAUGCUGAAAUCGCAGCCGUCCGUUUCUAAACACGGGGAGCGACGUGCGGCGUGAACGCACGCAACUUAAUCACACGCUGUGGUCGGUGGUUUUUGGACGAAAACGGGCGAAGGUGGAAUUGAUUUAGCGAGAGUUCGAAAUGUUUAGCUGUUAAUGUACUGAGUGAAUGAGUGUGACUUCAUUAGACGAAGCAGACGCGUGUGUGAAAAAGUGGGUCCGGACUGAGCAACAAAUAAACAAAGUAGCCGACUUUGGGGCGCUUUUCCGUCUGAUCUGCUGUUUUUCAUCUGUACGUCGCUUCUUUUGUGUCACAUCAGAGUCUCGCGUUCUGUGA